rnacentral:rRNA from 1 species
GGGACAACCGCUGGAAACGGCGGCUAAUACCGGAUACUCCGGGAGGGCCCCAUGGCCCUGCCGGGAAAGCCGAGACGGCGCGGGAUGGGGUCGCGGCCCAUUAGGUAGACGGCGGGGUAACGGCCCACCGUGCCCGCGAUGGGUAGCCGGACUGAGAGGUCGACCGGCCACAUUGGGACUGAGAUACGGCCCAGACUCCUACGGGAGGCAGCAGUGGGGAAUUUUGCGCAAUGGGGGAAACCCUGACGCAGCAACGCCGCGUGCGGGACGAAGGCCCUCGGGUUGUAAACCGCUUUCAGCAGGGAAGAUCCAAGACGGUACCUGCAGAAGAAGCUCCGGCUAACUACGUGCCAGCAGCCGCGGUAAUACGUAGGGGGCGAGCGCUAUCCGGAUUCAUUGGGCGUAAAGCGCGCGUAGGCGGCCGCCUAAGCGGGACCUCUAACCCCGGGGCUCAACCCCGGGCCGGGUCCCGGAACUGGGCGGCUCGAGUGCGGUAGAGGAGAGCGGAAUUCCCGGUGUAGCGGUGGAAUGCGCAGAUAUCGGGAAGAACACCGAUGGCGAAGGCAGCUCUCUGGGCCGUCACUGACGCUGAGGCGCGAAAGCUGGGGGAGCGAACAGGAUUAGAUACCCUGGUAGUCCCAGCCGUAAACGAUGGGCGCUAGGUGUGGGGGGACGAUCCCUCCGUGCCGCAG